rnacentral:lncRNA from 1 species
AAGUCACUUUCCUUCUAUCCAUAAAUCUUCCACCAUGUGGCUGUGCUGGAGUCUCUCUGAGCCUACUCUGGCUUGGAAGACUGCCUGAUUUGCUAAUCAUUCUUUGCUCAAAUUAAACUCUGUUAAAUUUAGUUAGUCCAGGGUUUUUUUUUUGUUUGUUUUUUUAAAAUCAAAUCUUCAGUGACUCUUUAUGGUGGUCAAUUAUGGCCAGGAUGGAUAGGAGACUACCAUGCAGAAAAGUAUGAGAGAGACUUGAAAACCAUGCAGUGAUCUUUAAAACCCUCUGAAUAUGUAUUUUCAAAUGCUGCUUUCAUAAGUCAUUAACCAUAAUUUAUUGAAUGUGUACUAUGUGUAUGGCAUUGUACUAGAUCCUUUAUAAACCAUAUAGAAUUUUUAUAGUAACCUUGAAAAGUAUGUGUUAUUAUAUCCACUGUACAUAUUGGGGGGACUGGAGGCUUAGAAAGUGGAAGUCGAGGCUUGCACACACUUAUUAUGAAAGGCCAGCUGGCAUGAUAGUGGUUCACCCUGAACAGCAGAUGGAACUGAUAACAGGCCCAUUAAAUUAUGGGCCAAAUAGUUUGCAACCUUAAGAAAUCCCUGUGAAAUGUUCAUAGAAUAUUAACUUCUUAUCUUAUCAAAGAAAAUUUUAACCCAUUGAAAUAUAAGAUUUGUGUUAGGGUCUGAAUGGCCAACCAUUUUUUUUUUUCUGUAUGUGUUUGAGAAUAAUGUGUUUUGCAAUUUUUACAUGCAGUAUUUUAUAUAAGCUUAUGGUACAGCUUGUUUAUUGUAUAAUUUAAAACUUCCUUGUCCUUACUAACUUUUGUCUGUUUAUUCUAUUGCUAAAAGUGGUAUAGUAAAUACACUACAAUAAUGCAUUUGUCAAUUUAUCUUUAGUUAUGUCACUUUCUGCUUCAUAUAUUUUGAGACCAUGUUAUUAGGUACAUAAAAUAUAAUAAUUAUAUUUUUUUCUGGCAAACUGAAGCUUAUUAUAAAUGACCCUCUUUGUUGCGAGUAAUGCCUUUUGCAUUUACAACUGAUGGAGACAGGACGCAGCCAAAAGUCCCUGGUGAAACCCCGCCUUCAAGCCUAAAACAGCCUGAAGGAUGAAAAACCAGACUUCUGGUGCCUGAUGAAGCCUGCCCUUUCCUGACUGAUUCUAAAUAAUGCCUACCUGCCAACUGGGAAGGCAGGGUGGAGCCUUCGGAAAUUCAUGACCUUCGCAGGGGAGAGGAGCUUGGCCUCUCCUAUUCCUGUGUGGUGACCUGGGAUUCAAACUGUGAGGCGGAAAACCUGCUAGCAGGAGUCUCGCUUUGCUGAGAGUUAUUUUUCUUUUCCUUUUUAUCCAAUAAAUUCCGUCUUCUCACGCUUCUAUGUGUCUGUGACCCUACUCUUUCCUGGUCGUGUGACAAGAGCCUGGUUUUAGCUGACCUAAGAAGAAAGUUCUGCAACAUUUUUGGUGUCCAGACGUGAGUCUUGAGGAAGGACAAGUACAGACAAUCACCAGGAACUAAGGAACAAGAAGCAUCCAACCCUGCAUCUGUGGGUUUCCUGAGGUGACUCUCAAUUGUCAUAGGGGUGAAGAGUGAGUGAGGAAACCCUUGGAGCACUUGUUUGCUUCACAGACAUCCUGACCUCCUUUCAACUGUAAAGACUUAGUCAGAGGACGGCGGCUCCCUCAGCCUCAUUCUGCAGUUCCAAUGACACUUUUUACAAAGGCUCUGUACUUGUCUGAUUCUUAAAUAUUCCAGUUUUUGAACUUUGCUGCAGUAGUUGUAUUCGAAAUGGGUUAAUUGUCUCAUUUUCUUUUUAAUGCCUACUCUUUCAAGGCUCAAAUCUUGAAUAGGUCAAAAAGAGCAAGAGGAAAAUGUCAGAGAAUGGAGAAAGGCAAAUACAGAGAAGCAGUGUGAACAUCCACCCGGCGAGGUGACCUGAUGGGUUUCACAGAGCCAAGCAGAAAAGGAGCACAGGUGACCUUGGCAGGAAGGCAUGCAUGGGAGAGCAGGUCUGCACUCUGGGACACCAGCCUCAACAGAAUACGAGUUUUGAAUUUUUGAAUUGCUGUUAAAACUUUCAUCAUGAACACUGAAGUGAGUGAAAAGAGACUUUUGCAGUCAUUUUUUUGCUGGCUGCAGAUGACAGUGACACCCUGGGAGUUGAGAAAUGCUUGUAAGAUGGAAGGAGGCUGUGUCCCUGAAUGAUCACCUGGAAGAGAGCCACCUUAGCCAAUGAAACUCCUGCUAUGAAUGUUUGCUGAGCAAGAAAUAUACUUACUGCUUUAUAUGCCUUUGAAGCUAUAGGUUCAUAUUGUUACCACAAUUUAAAGUGCUAUAAUAAAAAGAGUUCAGGAAGCAGGCACAUGGAAGCAAUAAGAGCAACAAACAUUUACACAGGUCCCUGGACCAUGAAGGGCCACAUCCAAGGAGCUACCCCAGGAGGCCUCUCAUUUGCAUUUGUCCCCGCUAAUGCAGGACAGAGAUCAUGGAAGUUGGGCCCGACUGGAUGAGAUUUGGGGGUCUUUGGAAGUGGAGAAUGUGUUUGCCCUGGGGAAGAGAGGUGAUGUCUAGGAGACCUCUUCACUCAGGGCAAGCUCUAUGACCUGCUUUGACUCCAGAAUGUGGUAGAAGUGGCAUCACAUAAAUUGCAGAGCCUAGGCUUCAAGAGACCUUGCAACUUGCCUCUCACUGACUUGAAGUGCUCCCAUCAGAGCAUCUUGUAAGGAGCAGGUGGAGCAUGUGGACAAGCCAUCCCCACCAGCCCCUGAGACAUGUGAGAGAGGCCAGAACAGGCCAUCCGGACCCCACUGUGCUGGUGGAUGAGACAGCAGAAGGAAUAUCAACCUACCAACAGAAUCCUGAGAAAUGCUCACUCUUACUUCAAGCUGCUGCAUUUUGAUGUUAUGAAACCAUAAAUAACUUAUGAAGUCAUCUUUGCUGACUUAAAGUUUUCCAUAACUUUAUUAUAACAUAUCAAAAUUAUGAAAAAUGUGAAAAGUAGAAAACUGAUGAAUUUUGCUUCUUCAUAUGGUCUUUAAGAAUCUCAAAGGCACUGAAGUUUUUUAUCUUUUCUGUCUUAGAAUAAAAAACCUUGAAUGAAAAUCUGCUUCUUGGAAAAGCAGCAAGGUUUAUGCAGAGGCAAUCUGGUAUUUGUGUGCACUGGCAGCUGAUCAUACCCAGCAUGCACGCACUCUCAGGGCAGAGUCUGAUGCCCCACAUAAUGGGGCAUGGUAAGGACUCCCAUGUCCUUGAGAUAAAAUGAUAAGGAAAAUACACACUGCUAUUAGAAUAACAGGCCCAGCUUCUGCACAUUUUAAUUCCCAAAGUUUUCAUGAAAGACAAUGAUUUUUUGGUACCAUGUUUAACUCUACAAGAAUCAGUAGUGAAAACUAAAAAUGAUACUUUGUGAAAGUUCAUUAAUUUUGUUUUCAGCCAGUGGUGGCCUUGGUCAGAUAGAAUCAAAUCUAUGAUACUUUUUAUCAGAAAUGCUUAUACUGUGUACAAACCCAAAGUGAUGGCUUUCAAAGAUUGAAUUUGAUUAUUUUCUGUAUGGUGCAGAUGAAAAAUUACUACACAGGAGAAGGUGGGUUGGAGGUGCUCACGAGUAACCAGGAAACAGUCUGAAGUUUUUCUGAUACUUCUCCUUGGUCCAACCAAAUGUGAGAUAUAAACACAAACUUGGGAUUCCGUUCUUAUGUUUUGGUUGUUUCAGUCUUUACAGAUGUAUCGAAAGGCUGUCCAAAAAUGUCUGACUUCUGUAGUGUGCCUUCGUAGCACUAGAGGGUUCUGCAGCUGUGAAACUGAAGGCAUUGGCAAGAAGCCCUCCAUCUUCAAACCACUUUCUGCUAAGGUGUGGCUCUAUAAAACCACUAUGAGCUGGGCUUCACUGAGACUGAGUUGUUUCAGUAGGAUCUUCCGGAAAAACAUGUUCCCUCCUUUACCUGGGUUGUCAUUCUGAGAACAAUCACACCUCCAAUUUUGGCUUACUAAGCAAUAGCGUUUUAAUGAUUUUAAGCCAGGAUUUGCUCCUCCUUUCCUCAGUAUGAGAGCUUAACCACUGGAGGAACCAAGAAUUCAUGCUGGUUGGGUUCUGAUUCCACUUUAACUUACUGUAUAGCCUCAUCCCUUGUUUUUCUGGAGAUUCUCUUUUUCUGCUUCACUGAUUUAUAUUUACAUUAAAAUCAAAUGAGGCCAUGUUUCUGAAAUCACAUUGUCCCUACAUGGUCAUUACAAUGAGUCUGUAAUGUGACUGAAAGACAGCCAUGGAUACAGGUAGAGGAUAUCAGGCAAUUGAAUGCUCAUCAAGCAUUCAAUUCAGGGCAAAUGGCAUAAGGUAUGCAGUUGGCCUCUUCUGAUAUCUGUGUCUUAAUCCUUUCUUUAGCCUCUGUUUUCUGGACCAAGGCUAAGAUAUUUUCUGGGCACAGUGGCUCAUGCCUAUAAUCCCAGCACUCUGGGAGGCCAAGGUGGGAGGAUUUCUUCAGCCCAGGAGUUCGAGACCAGCCUGGGGAACAUAGGAGACCUCAUUCCUACAAAUAAUAAAAAAAAUUAGCCAGCUCUGGUGGCGUGUGCUUAUUGGUCUCAGCUACUUGGGAGGCUGAGGUGGGAGGACUGCUUGAGCCCAGAAGAUCGCAGCUGCAUUGAGCCAUGAUUGUGCCACUGAACCCUAGCCUGAGCAACAGAGCAAGGCCUUAUCUCAAAAAAAAAAAAAAAUUCUGAGCCUUCUAAUUUUUUUUUUCUUUAAUUAACUUUCUGUAAGCCCAGCAAGUAAAUAAAACACUUAUUUUAUGAAGCAUCUAGUUGCUUUUAGGGGAAGGGACAUCCUCCGCAUAGUAUCUAGGCCAGCUCACUUUCUUCUCCUUACUGUUGAUUUACUCUCUGCCAUUGAAUCUUCUGUGCCAAUGUUGGAUUAAUGUUUCCGGGCCCUACUUUCAUCAUGCUCCUCUGUAUUAUCACCUGUUUUGGUUUACAGCAAUGAUUUUUAAGGUAAGGCAUGGUGUGUCCAUCAUAGUCACAUGGGAACUUUUUCAAGCCAUAUUAAAAAUGUCCCCCAUUCAUCAUUCUGCCCCUGGAACAGUGUGUGCAGUUGGGACCUUCAAGUAAAUCUACUUUGUUGAAACCCACUGAUCAGCAUGGUGUAUUUCAUAACUCUUUGACUUACAUUCAAGAAAUUCCUUAACCUGAACUCCAUUUUACUCUUUUUUUCAUUCAUUCAAAUUAAGAAUAUUGCCUGAACAUGAAUUAUCUGCUAGACGUUUUUCUAGGUGCAGGAGGAGUAAGGAUGAACAUAACUAGCCAUAACUAUAGCUAUCAAUUGUGGAGUGUCUGUUAUGUGCCAGGCACUUUUAAGUGACCUACUCGAUUUACUUGCAUGACAAACUGUGAGGAAAAGCCCAAUAUUAUCCCCUAUUAACAGAUGAGGAAACUGAAGCACAAACAGCAUGAAUAGUUUGUUCCAGAUUGCAUCAUAAGAGGCACAGCCAGCUUUCCUACCAAAGCAGCCCUGGCCCAGAGUCCGUACUCCCUCCUCCCCUGCCUCUGCCUGGUGGAUAAGGUCACCCUGGCCUUGUGGAACUUAUGCUCUAGUGGGGACAAAUAGUUAUAGAGAAUGACCGAUGUUACUAAGAAAAUAAAAGCUGGUAAGAAAACAGAAGCACUGAGGAGGUGACUGAAGUGAGCAUUUAUAAUUUUAUGUUAUAUCCAUUGUAAAAUAUAAGUUUAGCUUUCUCAUACCAGAAGCAGGGCUCAGUCCACCCUUGACUCAGUUUCCAAUACUGUUCCCCAUCAGAAUGGCUCUUGCUGGUGGCCAGAAGUAAAACUUAGAAAUAUCUCUCUCAGAGACACCUAAGCAGGCUGGGCUCCCCGGUUUCCUGUUGCUUCCUUUAAAGAAGCUCUUCAGACAUCUGCACAAGAACUCAAAGUGACCACCUCUCAGCCCAGCAUGACCUACUGGAACUAAUGCCUGCUUGCUUUCAACCUACCAAUUAAAGCUCCCCAGGAAACCUGUUUAGAUAACACCCUGGACCCAAGAAAGGUGCUGGGCCAUGGGUUUCUUCUCUCUCUCCCUAUCUGUGCUCCCUGACCCCCUGUGUGUGUGUGGUCUCUAGGCUUGCCUUCUAUCCCUGAGGGUCUGUAAAUACUAAAAACACUUAAACUUUCAUAUUGUAGUUGUGUCUUUGAAGCCAGGUCCCCAUCCCGUACCUUGAGGGCAAGGCCUCCUGGAAGGGACCCAUGUAGGUGGAUCCCCUGCUGUCCAGGCCUCUUAGCUGCUGGGGUAGUGACCAGUUAAGUGGAUAGAGUUUCAUUCAAAACAAUAAUCAUUCAACUGUAUCUCACAUCAAACCUCUGCUCUAGUUUAUGUAUCUACUUUAUGUUCUUAGAAGACUGUGCAAACACAUUGUCUUUUUUGAGUACCUGUCUUGUCCUAGGUACUCUGCUUGGUACGGGGAGAGACGAAUCUUCUGUCUUCAGGGGCUUCCACUCCAGCAGGGAGAACAUGACUAAUAGUGACUGCCUGCUGCUGUAGGUAAUAAGUGGCUCCCACUAGGCCCUCCAUUUGGUGGCCCCCUGUCCCUCUCACUGGUGGAAGCCUACCUGUCCUCUAAGGACCAGCUCACUAAUGUCCUAGAUCCUCACGGACCAGAUUGCUUUUCUCAGAACUGAAGAGCACUUACUAAUGGCACCUCUUGUCAUAUGCCAUCCCAGGAUUUGAAUUUUUUUUUUUUUUCUGUCUUGUGGCCCAAAUAAAUCCUGAACUCCUCGAGGGCUGGGAGUGUAUCUAGCAGUUUCCUUAUACUGGACUAAUCAGAUGCUGACUAGGUAGCAGUGAGAAAAAUCUAGAAAUUCCCUUUUAGCCACAUCGACUUACACGAGGGGAUGUGUGUAAGGUACUAUAGCUCUUUAAACAAGAGGUGGUCUCGUUUGAAGGGUGGAUUGAUGUGGGUGUUCAAAUGAUGUCACAAGUGGCUGGUUUCUCUGUCUCCAUUUCUUUUUUUUUUGGCUCCAUUUCCAAAUUUCCCAGAUAGCACAGCAAGUUGGCCCCAGCAGCUCUAGACACUCCAUCUUCUCAGGGCAUAGCCAACACAAUAAAAUAUUUCAAGUUCCUGAAAGAUAGCUGAAAUAAGCCCUAGAAGUUUCUGGAUUGGGAGCAGAGCCAAACCUGCCAGCUCACAUAGAUGAGGGCAGGGAAUAGGGUGUCUCACGAUCACAGUGUCCUGCCUUCUGAUUUGCCUGGGACUGUCCUGUUUUGGCACCAAAAAUAUCUGCAUCCUAGGAAACCCUCAGGUCCUGGGCAAAUUCAGACAGUGACUUGCCCUAUCAGAAGCAAAGCAAGGUGCCAUUACCUGAGGUGGGCAAAUUCAGACAGUGACUUGCCCUAUCAGAAGCAAAGCAAGGUUGCCAUUACCUGAGGUGGGCAAAUGGAGGCUGGGUGGCCAGUGAGUGACCAAUAACCCCAGCAUUGGAGAGAGUGGAGCAGCCCUUCAAGAAGUUCCAACCUCUGCCCAGGACUGGUUUUACCAACUUCACUAGGCUUAGAAUCGUAGGAAGUCUAUUUGGGACUUGCGAGUCUCACGUAUUCCUGCCUAAAUGUUUAUGGAUACCUGUUUAGAGCUGAAAUCUUUUCAGCUCCCAUAAUAUGAGGGAAUUAGGUCUCAAAGAAGAUCAUGUAUUUUGAUCAGACCUUAUAGCUGAGCAGUGGAAAGAAAAAAAAUCAGUGUGAGAUCUCCCAGGGUUCCGCAGGAGUGGCUUCCUUAGUCCAACUGGCAGCCUAUCCUGGAAUAUUGCCUGGGAGAGAGGUUAGUUGCUUUUCCUGGUGCUAGGAACUGAAUGGUUUUACAUAUUGAUCAAUGAAAAUACUUAUUUGGCCUACAAUAGGUGCAAAAAUACUGCUAAUUACUAACAGUAUCUCUUCUUUGCUGCGUGCCAGACACUCCACUGGGCAUUAUGCAGUUAAUAUGUACCAUGAAUUUCCCGUGGUUAGCAAUGAUGUCAGGCAUAGAAAAGACAUGAAAUUAUGAUGUCAAAUGAAUAAACUGGAAAAAGGAAUUUCUUGAAUUUUCUCCAGCUGUCCUAAGAAUGUAUCUAUACUUUGAUCCUGGCCUACCUUUUCAACAUCUAAACUUUAUUCCCCCAAGCUUCUAGAUAUUCAAAGUUAAGUAUUAAAUAAAAUCAGUAAAUAUAUACAAGCUUGUUUGGCCAUUCUGAAUAAGGUUAUAUUUCCACCACACAAUCUCCAAAUUCUCUAGCAGAAGGGAUCAGUAUGUUAUAGAUACCCCCUUUCCUUCCCUCCCUGGCAAGCCACCACAUCUGUUAUGGGUACUCAAUGCAGUGGCUGCACCUGGGCCUCACUCAUUAAGCAGUUGUUGAUUGAGUGACUGAAUUGAAUGCCUGAUGAGCUCGCAAGUAAGAUUCAGACUGUGCCUGCAAACUAAUAGGAUCCCUCCGCUUUUUAUUCACUACUGCUGAGGUAGAUCUCAGGCCAGCCUGAAGUUUAGGUCUACUGAGAAAUAAUAAGCCUCAAAAAUCGAGCUUUGCUUCACCCAGUCUCCCAGUAAACACUAAGAAAUGUUCACAUUAUUUACACAUCCUAGACUGCCUGUCUUAUGGACCAAAUGUUUGUGUUCUCCCCGCAAUUUAUACAUUGGAAUCCUAACCCUCAAUGUAAUAGCAUUAGGUGCUGGGGUCUUUGGGAGGUGAUUGGCUAAUGGACCUGGAGCCCUCAUGAUGGGAUGAGUCCCCUUAUCAGAAGAGACCUGAGAAGGCUUGCUUCCUCUCCCUGUGCUCUUCAUGAUGUGAAGACACAAGAAGACAGCCAUCUGUGGGCCAGGAAGAGGUCCUCACUGGAACCCAACCAUGCUGGCACCCCAAUCUUGAAUUUCUAGCUUCAAGAACUUGGGAAAUAAAUGUAAGCCAGCCAGCUUAUGGAUUUGUUACAGCAGCCUAAGCUAAGUCAGAGUCUCUAGAACAGCUGGUCUGGGGCAGCGGUGAAGGGAGGUGGGUGGGCAUAUGACCCUGCCCUGCACAUGAAUGGCAAAGGCAACUGGAGAGCCUCUCCCUUUUGGUGAGAUCCCCAGUCCACAAGGGCAUGUUCAUCCAUAGCUUUACUUCCCGAAGCAAAUUCUGGUUCCUGGGGCCUGUGCCUCCAUAGAUGGCAUGAUCUGCAGCCUCCUGUGGUAAUUUACCCUCUUCCUAAAUUUCUGAGUCUUCACAUUUAAGCAAUCCUAGUUAGAUAUCCUCUACCUGUAUCCAUGGCUGUCUUUCAGUCACAUUACAGACUCAUUGUGAUGACCAUGUAGGGACAAUGUGAUUUCAGAAACAUGGCCUCAUUUGAUUUUAAUGUAAAUAUAAAUCAGUGAAGCAGAAAAAGAGAAUCUCCAGAAAAACAAGGGAUGAGGCUGUACAGCAAGUUAAAGUGGAAUCAGAACCCAACUGUAGUCCAUUAUUUGUUUCAAUCCUGCUCUUUUCUACCAUAUCACCCAGUUUCCAAAUCGUUCAGCAAAUUGCCAUGGUCAAUGGGAUUAACCUUUCCCUUUUAUUCUCAGGAAAUCUCCCUUGUCCAUUUUGCAAGACUGUGUGAUUCUUUCUACUGUUACAAGGAAUAAAAGCCUUCCUAAAAAGGUCUUUGGUGCCUUUAUUAUUUUACGGAUCAUUUCUGAGGGAAUUAUUGAACUUCAUUAUGUAACCACCCCUUGGGUUCACCUUGCCCACUGCCUAGACAGAGCCAAUUUAUCCAGACAGGAGAAUUGCAAUGGAGAAAGAGUAAUUC